CCUUUAGAUACCCGGGUAGUCCACGCCGUAAACGAUGAUAACUAGCUGUUCGGACUCUUAGAGCCCGAGUGGCAAAGCUAACGCAUUAAGUUAUCCGCCUGGGGAGUACGGUCGCAAGAUUAAAACUCAAAGGAAUUGACGGGGGCCUGCACAAGCGGUGGAGCAUGUGGUUUAAUUCGAAGCAACGCGCAGAACCUUACCAGCGUUUGACAUCCUGAUCGCGGAAAUCGGAGACGAUUUCCUUCGGUUCGGCCGGAUCAGUGACAGGUGCUGCAUGGCCGCCGUCAG
rnacentral:rRNA from 1 species